UUAUUCAGGGCAAGUGUGCAUAAAAAUGCAUAUAUUACUGGAAAUAAACAAUAAAAUGAAUUAUAUUGUGCAAAAUUGUUUACAAAAAUAUGUUUAUUAGGAUAAAUAAAUACUAAAAUGCUGAUAAACUUUUUUGAUUACCCUUUUUAAAAUUGCAAACUGAUGCAGAAAUACAGCAAACUGAACCUAAGUUUUGAAAAAUGAGAAACUCAGAGGGAUGCUGAAAAUGACAACUCCAUCCAUGCUUCACACUGCUGCAUGACCAUCUGCUUGGUUUUGCAGUGUAAAAUAGAUUAACCUGGCUCUGCCUCACAAGGUAAGGCAUACAGAAGAAGAUGAAAGGAAUUGGUGAAAGCCAGAAGAAGAAAAACAUUGAAAGAGGAAAAGCAAGGCCUGUGAUUCACCAAUGAGCCAAGUGACAAGAGUUCUUUCUCAAAGCUUAAGAAGACGCUGAAUGACUUCAGAUUCACAGAGUUCAUUUCAAAUAGUUCACCUGUACAAUGGGCAAUUGUUUGCAGUGGAGUUUUUGGCUUAGACUUCCUCCUGCAGCCACUGUUUGGGUAUAAUUUGAUGGGGAAAGCUUCACUAGAUGGAUCUUGGCGUGUGAAGGGAACAGAUGCCCUGCCAAAGAAGAAGUUAUCCUAAAUCUGGGCUGGCUCAAGACCUGGCACCCUACCAUUCCUUGAACCAUGUGUCCCUGCUCCAGUUCUCCAGUUCCUAUUCCUGCAGCCGCAGCUGCUCAAAUGCCAAGCCCAGGAAUUAAGAGUCUGUUUCUCCUUUCAUCCCUGGCGGAAGGGCUGCACUGGAAGUUCACUGGGAGCAACAUCCGGAGGUUUUCUGUUUGCUACUGACACUGUGGAAGGGCCAGUGGUGUGCUGAUCCCCCUCUGAGAAGUCUUAAACUGCCAAAUUGGUUCCCAACUAAAGUGAAUGUUGAUCUGCAUUAUCAGUGUUAGCACUACUUGUUAAGUUGUGGGUGAACAUAUCAGACGACACAGCGAUUCUUCAAACAGCUCUUAUUUAUUCACAGGCCAGGACAGAACUGAACUGAAGGGCUCAGUCAGCCUGCUUAUAUAGAGCUCUAUUACCACGUUACUGUAACAACUUUCUAAAACUAUCCAAUCACUGAACGUCACUUUCGACCCUUCAUUUGCAUAACUAUCUACAGUAUCCCCCUGCUGGCCCAGGGUGAGAACUUCAGUACAUAACACUACUUAUGUGCCUUUACUCCACUGUCAGUUUCGUUAGAGAAUUUAGACAUGGAAACUGCUGGGCUCCUUUCAGAAAGUGGGCCCUUAUAUUAAAUGUCAGUUUUAAUAUAAAUGUCAAUUUUCAGAAUUUCUUUAAAAUCUGCAACUGAGUGAUUUUUUGAUAAGAUAUUUAAUAACAAUAAUCCCCCCCCCCUGUUUUUAAACCAUUGGCAUAUAACCAAGUGUGCUUCUGUGUCAUAAAACUCUAAGCAUUCUUGGAGCUCUUAUUUACUACCAGCUGGAUCUAUAGCAACAUGUGUUUUGUGUAUUAUAGUGUCUCCUGUGUGUUGAUGUGACAUAUGAUCUAUGCAAAAAGAAUGACAGACCAGGUGAGAAAGCGUAUUCCCUUUCUGUUUAAAAACUCUGUGAGUCUAGAUAAGAAGAGCAACCGGGAAGAAGGGAGAAGGAAUGUCAGUUAUUGAUGUUGCAAAAUUAAUAACGCUUGGGUUAUGUCAGUGGGAGGUUAAUUUUAGAGGGACUUUCACCGGUUAUAAACAGCAUGACCAGUCAGGAUGUGGCUACAACUCUACUCCUUCCACCAUAAGCCUGUGUUUUAUUUCAAAAGUCUUCACUUCUGUAUUUGGUUUCUCUUUUAGGAAGCGAAACCUGAGCUUAUGGUGCCAUGUUUAAAUUCUUCGGUCAGAGUUCAUUAAAUAACUUUUUGUGUUUUUCUGCAGGGAGAAUGCCUUGGAUUAUAUGGUAAUAUAAUAUAUUCUUGCUUUCAAACACCGUAAAAAUUUUGUCCCAGAAUCCCCCUCGGCUCCAGUGCUCAGUAUAACAUGAACAUGCCUGGUUCAUAGAACACAAUAUGCUUAACUUGGGGCUAGUAACUACAAUCAGUUCAGUAUGUGGGGAUUUGGCAAAGUGGGUUUAUUUUUCAAAUGCUUAUUAUGCUUUUUCAAUAUGAUGGUAUAGUCAUGACCAGACAUCUGCAUAUGAUGUCUAAGCAUGUGCCUCAUUCAAAUCAGUCCCUGAUGGAUGUCUUUCCAAGGGGUGAAGUGUAGGGAAACAAAUUCAAUUCAUCUGCCUAAUCUGUGCUUUCCAAAACAAUGCACAAACAGUAACACAGCUAUUUAAAUUCACUUAUCCGAAUUUUGCAAAGCAGUUCUCUAGCCAAGUAACGUGUCAAAAAAUGCAUGUACUGGAAUGAAGUGUGUAUAAAGAUGCAUAGUGAAAAUUGCUUUGCCAAAAUGUGUAUAGUAGGCAGAAUUGCACAAAUAUGUGUAUAGUAGGAGAAAUUCACGCUAAAACACUGAAUUUUCAUUAGGACUUAUUUCUUAAUAAUUUUCAAGCUGAUGUGGAACUGAACUUAAGAAUGGAAAAAUGAAAAACUAAGAGAAACCAAAUUGACAGAUUUGCCCAUUCCUAUGUGUGGAAGAUUCUACCUGGCUUGCUACUGGAUGCCAAUGAGAUAAGAAUAGAAAAGAAAAGAGACAAUUCUACCCUGAAGUUUCCAUAGUCUCCUGACUCAUUGCUAUAUAUAUUUGAACCUAUGGUGAGCUCUCAGCUAACCAAAAUAGCACCUAUAAAAACAGAGUUGGCCUUACUACUCUUUGCAAACAAGCCUAAUUUUGACAAGGAAAGUCAGAAUAAUGGAUUCUAUAGUUGUCAGAGGAGACACAUAGUUGCUUCUGCAUCUGCUGGGCAAAGACCACCAUGUAUUGAACUGGCCCUCUGUUUUAAUUUUAAAAAACAUAUAUUAGAUUUAAUGAAUUGUGAGCAGGGUUCAAUGAAACAGUUGUGUGCUUCAUUGGUUUACUAUU